AUUGUCACCGGUCCUGCCCGCGCGGUGAGUUCCACAGGCUUUCCCCAUGCAGCCCAGGAAGAAGCGUCCUCUUAGGCCCCUGGAUGCGAUGGGAAGUUGUUGGCAUCCCUAGGAGCCAAUGUCCCUUUUUGGGGGGCCCCGAGAAAAUAUUGGAGGGGGGCUGCCCUCUCUCCCAGCUGGUGGGCACUGCCAUUCAAAUGGUGUAUGUGCACCGUGCUGUGUGAUCGAUUCAAGCUGGCAUCGCCUGUUGGCACCCGUCUGCCUCGAGAAAUAAUGGAGUGCACCACUGGGGGUGAAGUCAAAACAGUUGCAUUAGCAAUGCCUAGCCUGGGCAGUGUGAAUGAGGGUCCUGGGCUCCCCAGAUGACAAGAGCCUCCUCGUUCAUUGAGAUCCAAAAGAAAGCAGAGCAAUACAUUUGGCAUCGAUGUGGCUGCAGGAAUCAUGCGAAAGAAGCAUACAAGGCACCAUCCAACCAGCUUAGGGACUCCGCUCCGGAUUUACUCCUUAGCCUUUUCUUCUCCCUAAGAUAUCCCACAAAGCAGAGGGAACCACCUGGCAGAAUAAGACCAGCCUGGAACUGGGCAAGGAAGGAGCAAGUUUCCUGAACCAAGUAGGCAGUGGAGUUCUAAGGAGGCAGGGAUUGCAUGUCAGGAAGGUGCAUUGUCACGUAGUUUCCCUUAUAGCUGCCAGGUGCUUCACUCACCUGUAAAUUCUCCACAUAUCUCCCUCUCUGGUAUAUGUUCAUUUAUAGAAGCAUCUGUAAUUUGUAGACCCUUGACCCAAUAAGAGCCCCAGAGGAAAAACUAGGACAAUAUAUCAAUGUACAGUCAUACCUUGGUUGUCGAACGCCUUGCUACUCAUACAUUUUGGCUCCCGAUUGAAACCCGGAAGUGAGCUGGUUUUUGAACUUUUUUUGGAAUGUCCGAGGUGGCUUCCAUGCACCUUUGCAGUCGGAAGCCAAUCGGAAGCUGCACCUUGGUUUCCAAACGUUUCGGAAGUCGAACGUACCUCCGGAACGCAUUCUGUUCGAAAACCAAGGUACGACUGUGCUGAUAUUAGUAUCAAUUAUAUAUAAAAAAGGGAGUACUAUUUCUCGAAGCACAUAGUUAAACUAUGGAACUUGCUGCCAUGGAGAACAGUUCUGACCAACUUAGAUGGCUUUAAAGAGUGGACAAAUUUUUGGAGCAGAGGGAUAUCGAUGGUUACUAGCCACAAUAGCUAUGCUCUGCUUCCACAGCUGGAAACAGUUAUGCUUCCGAAUACCAGUUCCUGGAAGCCACAAGAGGAGAGGGGACUCCUGUGCUGGCAUCUUGUUUGAGAGUUUCCCACAGGCCUCUGGUUGGCCAAUGUGAGAACAGGAUGCUGGACAAGAUGGGCCACUGGCCUGACCCAGCAGGCCCUUCUUACGUUCUUAAUGAAACAGUAACAACAAAGAGCGUUCAUAGAACCAGUAAACCACAGUACACCAAGUCCAUUCACUACAAAUGUAAGAGCCAUAAAAAGGAGGAGAUAGCAUUCAGGUACCCUGGUCCCAAACUGUUCAGGUCCUUGUAGGUAGCAACCAGCACUUUGAAUCCCACUUAGCCACCCAAGCCAACCCGUUCACAAGUAGUUUACUUUGCACGCAAGUGGAAUAUAUUGAGCCGGUGAUCCAGCACCCUGUGCCAAAUCUACAUAUGGUGAUUGAUUGUAUCUCCAGCAGUGGCAGCAGGAACAUCUAGGGAGGUGUCUGAAGAACUCUUCCCCUACUCAGGAUAGGCACUAUCACAUGCCUAGAUACCUGUGUUGUUAGCUGAACUGCUUUGAGGGUGGCUAUAGUUGAAAAAACAGCAUACAAACAAAUAAGUGAAUAAAAAUGGACUGAUUCCAACCAUUGUUUGUCCCAUCAGCCAGUACCCUAACAUUGCAUGACCCUAGCAUUCCAUGUGAUGGGAUGCACGUGUAACAUGUACCUGUUUAUCAGGCCUUAUACAUGCGCACACACCUUUUUAAUUCCUCUUCUCCCACCCCCACCAGUUGGCCAGGUCUGAAAAGCCUGUCUAGUAACUACAAAAUGGGAGAUGGGUGGUCUCCACCAGGACACUCACACUGACCUGAAAAACCCACCACCACCAACCCACAUGCUCAUGGCACACUCUUCUUUAAAUAUUUUUGUUUUCAUUGUAUGUAACCAGACUUAUAGACCGCUUAAUUAAAACAAAUAAACAACCCUAAGCAGUUUCCUUGAAACAGUAGAAAAUGCUACGUUAAAGAAUACAAAUAAAAUCAAAAUUUAAAAAGCAGGCAUAAUAAUAUUUAUCAAAAUAUGAAUAAAAACCAGAUGUACAUAAUAAAUUACAAAUGAAAAUUUAAUGUCUGGGUAGGCUUGCCUAAGCAAUCCCAUGUUUCAUAUAUGUUUCAUAUUCUCUGCCUUAAUACUCAUUGAAAGAGAGGCAACUGCAAAGAAAGGAACACAUUAUAGAGCCUUCAUCUGACCUACAACUUCAUUUGCCCCUUCCCCUUCCACCACCUGAUAGCCUCGUGUUGAUUGGCAUGGCUUGGGGAAAACUAUAUGAGUCCCUCUGAGUCGCUUGGGAUUUCCCCAGUUAAUAGUUAAUAGCUGGAUAAAUAAGUGUAAGUCCAGCUGUGAGCAGAUGUGUUUAAUUAUUUCCUUCCAUGCCCCCAACAAAUCAGUCCGAAAGGUUGCAAAUGGUGAAACGUCUUAAGAACUUUCAGCCAUCUUUUAGACAACAUGCCAAGGCCUGAACUUGGCGUGAAGACCAAUGCAUGGUUCUCAAAGGGUGUGGCAGGAAGAUUCAAGGACAAAGAAACGUUUAAGCAAUUCAGUGUAGUAUAGUAUAAUUUUUAUUUAUUUAUUUGCAGAAUAUUGAUAGAUAUCUUCAGAAUCAAGAACCGCUAGAAGUUAUUUUUGUUUUUCAAUGUAUCAAUAUAUUUUUUUCCAACUUAUCAG